GUCCUACUUGUAUAGAGAAGAGAAACUGAGGCUCAGAAGAGAUGCCUGGCUGAGUUUAAUAGGACUGCAACAACAAUUUUGCCUUUCUACUUUCUGGUACAGUGGUCUUUCCUUUGCCAUCAUGCCUCAGCAUAUCCAUCUCACCGAAGAAGACAGGAAAACUUGUCAGAUGGGGAAGGAUGUGUCAAGAGCAUGCACACAGAUUUACUCUUCAGCUAGAAGCUCCAAUUCCUAGAUGAUCUGAAUCCAACUCAGAGUGCUUGCACCUGUUUCCUG
rnacentral:lncRNA from 1 species